AUUGAACGCUGGCGGCAGGCCUAACGCAUGCAAGUCGAGCGGUAGAGAGGUGCUUGCACCUCUUGAGAGCGGCGGACGGGUGAGUAAAGCCUAGGAAUCUGCCUGGUAGUGGGGGAUAACGCUCGGAAACGGACGCUAAUACCGCAUACGUCCUACGGGAGAAAGCAGGGGACCUUCGGGCCGUUGUCGCUAUCAGAUGA
rnacentral:rRNA from 1 species